rnacentral:rRNA from 1 species
GAUGAACGCUGGCGGCGUGCUUAAUACAUGCAAGUCGAACGGGGACUGUAGCAAUACUGUCUUAGUGGCGAACGGGUGAGUAACGCGUUGGUGACCUGCCCCGAAGAGGGGGAUAACAGUCAGAAAGGAUUGGUAAUACCCCAUGUGGUCGUUUGGAUUAGAUGCCUUAUGACUAAACGGAUUUAUUCGCUUCGGGAGGGGCCUGCGUCCCAUCAGCUAGUUGGUGAGGUAAUAGCUUACCAAGGCGAUGACGGGUAGGGGACCUGAGAGGGUGGCCCCACACAAUGGAACUGAAACACGGUCCAUACACCUACGGGUGGCAGCAGUAGGGAAUAUUGGUAAUCUGGGAACCCGGGAACCAGCAACGCCGCGUGCGCGAUGACGGCCUUCGGGUUGUAAAGCGCUUUUUAAAGGGAUGAGGAAGGACAGUACCUUUAGAAUAAGCCUCGGCUAACUACGUGCCAGCCGCCGCAGUAAGAC